ACUUAAAUAAUUUAAAAAAAAUAUUGAUUUGUGGUGUCAAAUAUAUGAUUGUAUCAUUUUAAGUU
rnacentral:tRNA from 1 species